rnacentral:lncRNA from 1 species
UGAUUUCCGGCGAGCUCCGGCGGAGGACAGCGGCAUUGAAGGGUAUAUUCUUGUUCUCUUCACUUUCCUCUCCCUUUCUUUGUCAUUUAUUGUGCGAAUCGAACCCUAACCUAGAAACCCUUUCUUCUUUUUUCUGGGUUUCGAGCUCUUAGCUCCGGCGAUCGGCGUCCGAUGGUUUCCGGGCGAGUGCUCUGGGUUUUUGCUGAAGCCGAUAAGGCUUCAUGGUACCUCUUGUCUCCAUCCCGAUGACUUGCUGAGCUCCAAGAGGCCAAAUCGAUCGUGUGUGGAGGCUUGAGGUGUUGUUGCUGCUUAAUGGGAGGAACCACGAACCCGGAAUCCGACAAGAGAGCCACUGCCGGCAGGAGAAGCUUUGCUGUCAUCUGAAGGUAAUCUUCUUGCAUCUAGAGUUAUUGGGUUGCUGCUGUGUUGAUCAGGGUUUGAGAAAAUUUGGUGUAUGGCUGCUAAUGUGAAUGUUUUGGUUGUUGUUGUCGAUAACUUGGAAUUUGGAGUAUACGGGGAAGUUAUGGCGAAAUUCCGGCAAGUGGCCGGAAUCCGGCAGAAUAUUCCGGCAAGUCGUCGGAAUCCGGCGAAGGCAGUUAGUCCGACAAGAGCAAUUGAGGUAGUUAUCGAAGUUUUCCUUUUUAUUUUGCGUUGUUUCAUAAAUAGGAAAGUUUGUCGGUUUAUAAUCAGAAAUCUUUCUAAGUGAGGAAAGUUCCUAUUUUGGGAAACUUUCCCUUUUUGGAAACUUUCUAUUUAUGGAAACCCUUUUUGGGUGCCCUUAGUAAAUUUUAGGGUGAAGUUGUGUAGAGAGGAAAUGAAGGAAAUUCUUGGUUUU